AUGCCCCGUGCUUACCGGAAGCAGCGUGGUACUGGUAAGACACCGUGUUAUGCUGUGGAGCGCACUGUGUCCCCAGUGUGCGUUCAAAGCCCGGUGCGCUACAUACCAGCCCCCCGCAAGUGCCAUGUGAGUGCAGGCAUCGAGCCAGGGCGGAUGGUGCCAGCUCAGCGCGUCUGGUCUUCAGUGCGCCUCCUCGGUCCAGGUUAUCCUGCGCCAGCGUUGCGCACUGUGUCUCCAGAGCGCUGGGAGGGUCCAGUUCGCCCAAUGCCUGCUCUCCGCCCGUGCCGGGCCAAAGUGGGCAUUCAGCCUGGAGUGUGGGUAAAGAGUGUCCGUACCAGAACUCCAGUGCUCCCCCACAGCCCGGUUUAUCCUGUGCCUCCUCCUCGGACCAGGCCUCCAGUGGGUCUCCCCAUCCUGGUCCAUCCUGUGCCACCUCCCAGGACCAGGCCUCCAGUGGGUCUCCCCAUCCUGGUCCAUCCUGUGCCACCUCCCAGGACUAGGCCUCCAGUGGGUCUCCCCAUCCUGGUCCGUCCUGUGCCACCUCCCAGGACUAGGCCUCCAGUGGGUCUCACCUGUCCAGAGCUGCCCGCCAGUCAACAGUCGUCAGAGCUGCCCGCCAGUCAACAGUCGUCAGAGCUGCCCGCCAGUCAACAGUCGUCAGAGCUGCCCGCCAGUCAACAGUCGUCAGAGCUUCCCGCCAGUCAACAGUCGUCAGAGCUUCCCGCCAGUCAACAGUCGUCAGAGCUUCCCGCCAGUCAACAGUCGCCAGAGAGGUCAGACUGCGCUGAACUGCCGGAGUGGCCAGACUGCGCUGAACUGCCGGAGUGGCCAGACUGCGCUGAACUGCCGGAGUGGCCAGACUGCGCUGAACUGCCAGAGUGGCCAGGGACGCCCGCCAGCCCGGUGAGUCCUGUGCCUACGCCUAGGGCCAGGCCUCUGUCCUGUCUCCCCAGCCUGGUGAGUCCUGUGCCUGUGCCCAGGGCCAGGCAUCCAUCAUGUNNNNNNNNNNNNNNNNNNNNAGUUGUAACGCCCUGGCCAAGAGAGGGGUUUUUUGUUCUUUAUUUUGGUUAG
rnacentral:lncRNA from 8 species